CUGGCCCUGAAUCAAGGCCGGCAGUUUUCUGAAGUUGUUGGUUUCAAGCAGGAGCCUAAAGAGAUGUCUUUCUUAUGGUCUGUUGGCCAUUUCAGAACUUGGCAAAUGGAAUGGUCAAUUCAUUAGAAAGAAACAGUA
rnacentral:snoRNA from 1 species